rnacentral:rRNA from 1 species
AUUGAACGCUGGCGGCAGGCCUAACACAUGCAAGUCGAGCGGAUGAAGGGAGCUUGCUCCUGGAUUCAGCGGCGGACGGGUGAGUAAUGCCUAGGAAUCUGCCUGGUACUGGGGGAUAACGUCCGGAAACGGGCGCUAAUACCGCAUACGUCCUGAGGGAGAAAGUGGGGGAUCUUCGGACCUCACGCUAUCAGAUGAGCCUAGGUCGGAUUAGCUAGUUGGUGGGGUAAAGGCCUACCAAGGCGACGAUCCGUAACUGGUCUGAGAGGAUGAUCAGUCACACUGGAACUGAGACACGGUCCAGACUCCUACGGGAGGCAGCAGUGGGGAAUAUUGGACAAUGGGCGAAAGCCUGAUCCAGCCAUGCCGCGUGUGUGAAGAAGGUCUUCGGAUUGUAAAGCACUUUAAGUUGGGAGGAAGGGCAGUAAGUUAAUACCUUGCUGUUUUGACGUUACCAACAGAAUAAGCACCGGCUAACUUCGUG